GAUGAACGCUAGCGGCAGGCCUAAUACAUGCAAGCUGAACGGUAAAUGUUGUAGCAAUACGAUAUGAGAGUAGCGUAAGGGUGCGUAACACGUAUGCAAUCUACCCGCAACAGGAGGAUAGCUCCCCGAAAGGGGAAUUAAUACUCCAUAAUAUCACGAGAGGGCAUCUGAUUGUGAUUAAACUCCAAGGGGUUGCGGAUGAGCAUGCGUCUGAUUAGUUAGUUGGUGAGGUAACGGCUCACCAAGACGAUGAUCAGUAGGGGAACUGAGAGGUUGAUCCCCCACACUGGCACUGAGAUACGGGCCAGACUCCUACGGGAGGCAGCAGUAGGGAAUAUUGGUCAAUGGGUGAAAGCCUGAACCAGCCAUGCCGCGUGCAGGAAGAAAAGCCUUCUGGUUGUAAACUGCUUUUUAUCUGGGGAUAAAAUACCCGUGCGCGGGGAAUUGAAGGUACCAGAUGAAUAAGCCAACGGCUAACUACGUGCCAGCAGCCGCGGUAAUACGUAGGUGGCAAGCGUUGUCCGGAUUUAUUGGGUUUAAAGGGUGCGUAGGCGGCUUUGUAAGUCAGUGGUGAAUACGGCAGCUCAACUGUCGAGGUGCCAUUGAUACUGCAGAGCUAGAGUACUGAUGAGGUAGGCGGAAUGGACGGUGUAGCGGUGAAAUGCUAGAUAUCGUCCAGAACACCGAUAGCGAAGGCAGCUUACUAAAGAGUAACUGACGCUGAGGCACGAAAAGUGU
rnacentral:rRNA from 1 species